UUCUUUCUUCUUCUUUUUCUUUCUUCAUCUUUCCUCUUCUUCUCAUCUCUUCCUCUGUUCGAAACCAAGAGAUGGUUUUGAGAUACGACUUGAGAGAAUUAAUUGUUGAGCGAGAGCAGAUUAAGUAGAAAAAGAUGAUGUUGUGACUGAUUGAACACGAUAUGAAGAAGAUAAAGAUGAUUCUGUUAAUCUGAGAAGAUCAAAUUAGGGUUUAGAUUUCGUUUUGAGAUUUCGUGGAAUUAAUCAGUAUAUUGAGUUCCUGAUAGUUAAAUAUCGAAUGGGUUGAUGUUUAAUUGGAUCUUUGAAGUUGAAUCAGUGGAUAAUCACUGAAGAGAUUUGUGUUAGGGUUUCAUUUGAGUUGCAAUUUGAAGCUAGGGUUUGUAAGAAGAACUCGGGGAAUGAUUUAGAGAUGAAAUUGAUGUUCUAGGAUGAUGGGUUGAGAUGGGUAACGAUUUAAUUGAUGAUGUAGAGUUGAUUUGAUAAUGGAUUUGAGUAUCUUGGAUUUAGGGUUCUUGAGUUGGGUUGCAGAUGGAAAAUACGAGACUGUUGUUGGAUGAAAUAAGAAGACUUCAGAGUUGGUACAUGAGGGAUGAAUGUAAUGGUUGAUUUGGUGUUGGUAUUGCUUGUGGUGAUGGGUUUGUUUGUGUUGAGUUUGAAUUACAGUUGAGGGUGUAGUGAAUAUGUAUGGAGGAUUUACAGAUGGAAUUGUCAGUGUUGAUGUUCACAGGUACAAGGGGAAUAAAUGGCAGCGAGGCAUAUGUAGUAUGAAUUGCAGAUAGUAAUGAAGCUUUUGUUGUGGAUGUUCUGUAAAGGUGCAGAUGGACUGAGAUGAAGUUGGUGUUGUUAUAUUGCGCAAAGAACUGAGUUACAUGGAUUGUAGAGGUUUGAAUGUGCAGGCAGUGUAAGUAAUGAGAUGAACUUAGAAUGAUUUAUGAGCUGAGGGAAAUGAAGUUAAGGAUGGUGGUGUUGUCCGUGUAGUUGCUAUUACUGAACUGAAAUAGUGAUGUUGGACUGAGUUGAGUUAGAGGUGCAGGUGGUGUUGAAUACGAGAUGGUGUUAUUGAACUGUGGUUGAAUUCUUGGUGGUGAUAGUGACUUGAAAUUGAAUUGAGGGAGUUGUAUUGGGUUGUAGUGAAUUGAAUAAAGGAAUGGUGUUGCGGUGUAAGUCUGAGAAUGUAGUGAAAAUGAAGUAGAGAAUGAAGAUGUAGUUGUGUAUGUAGGGAGAGUAUGGCUUAGCACUGCAUUUGCAGGUAAAGCUUAAAUUCCAGUUGUAUUGAAUUAUAAAGUUCUGUUUAAGUGAACAUUUUGUAUACUGUUUCAUUUUAUAGAAUCAUGCUAGUUGUGCU